rnacentral:rRNA from 1 species
UACAGAGGUCCCAAGCGUUGUUCGGAAUCACUGGGCGUAAAGCGCACGUAGGCGGCUUUCUAAGUCAGGGGUGAAAUCCUGGAGCUCAACUCCAGAACUGCCUUUGAUACUGGGAAGCUCGAGUCCGGAAGAGGUGAGUGGAACUGCGAGUGUAGAGGUGAAAUUCGUAGAUAUUCGCAAGAACACCAGUGGCGAAGGCGGCUCACUGGUCCGGUACUGACGCUGAGGUGCGAAAGCGUGGGGAGCAAACAGG